AUAACAGGCUUAUCUCCCCCAAGAGUCCACAUCGACGGGGAGGUUUGGCACCUCGAUGUCGGCUCAUCGCAUCCUGGGGCUGUAGUCGGUCCCAAGGGUUGGGCUGUUCGCCCAUUAAAGCGGUACGCGAGCUGGGUUCAGAACGUCGUGAGACAGUUCGGUCCCUAUCCGUCGCGGGCGCAGGAAAUUUGAGAGGAGCUGUCCUUAGUACGAGAGGACCGGGAUGGACGUUCCGCUGGUGUACCAGUUGUGCCGCCAGGCGCAUCGCUGGGUAGCUAUGAACGGAAGGGAUAAACGCUGAAAGCAUCUAAGUGUGAAGCCCCCCUCGAGAUGAGAUUUCCCAUUCCUAUAUGGAAGUAAGACCCCUGAAAGAUGAUCAGGUAGAUAGGCUGGAAGUGGAAGUGCAGCGAUGCAUGGAGCGGACCAGUACUAAUCGGUCGAGGACUUAACCAAG
rnacentral:rRNA from 2 species